rnacentral:rRNA from 1 species
GGAUAUGACCUUCAGUCGCAUGGCUGGGGGUGGAAAGUUUUUCGGCCUGGGAUGGGCUCGUGGCCUAUCAGCUUGUUGGUGGGGUGAUGGCCUACCAAGGCGACGACGGGUAGCCGGCCUGAGAGGGCGACCGGCCACACCGGGACUGAGACACGGCCCAGACUCCUACGGGAGGCAGCAGUGGGGAAUAUUGCACAAUGGGCGGAAGCCUGAUGCAGCGACGCCGCGUGAGGGAUGACGGCCUUCGGGUUGUAAACCUCUUUCAGCAGGGACGAAGCGUAAGUGACGGUACCUGCAGAAGAAGCGCCGGCCAACUACGUGCCAGCAGCCGCGGUAAGACGUAGGGCGCGAGCGUUGUCCGGAUUUAUUGGG